GACCAAUACGAAACCCAUAAAAAAAUAUAUUUACAUGAUGUAGAUGAACUUACUACGCCAAAUUAACUGAAUGUAUUUACAGGUGGUUUGACAAAUAUGACUUCUCUGCUGAAUGCGACAUGGUGCUUGAUGGUAAGAUUACUGAUGAUGUGGCGCAGCUAGACAUUGACCAUGAAUCAACCAACAAGGUCUAGGCGUAUCAAUGUCAUCAUGGUCACAAGUCCAGACGGUAUCUUUUUUAUUAAAAACAUGUGCAGACGAAUUGACUCCUGCCUGCUGCACCAUUUUCCAGAGUUCCCUAGACUGUCACACCGUACCAACACAAAGGAAAAAAUCAAUUAUCACACCUGCCUAAGAAACACUGUCCACAGGAGAACAAUGACAUUAGACCUAUUGCUCCAACCUCUAUUGUUGUAAGUGUAUGGAGAAGCUCAUAGUAAGCAAACUGCAACUGGAUAUCAACUUUGUUAACCAGAGGUGUGGUGUAAGACGGGCAGUGUGAAAGGUAUCUGCCGCUGGUGACAGUCUGCGGAUGUACUGUAUGUAUCCUCUAUGUUAUUGUCUGUAUUUUCUAAACAGCUGACACUGCACGUCUCCAAGACAAAUUUCCUUCGGGACAGUAAAAAUCUAUCUAUCUAUGAAGCAACCUUCCCACACAGGGUGGCCGUUGCUGACCUUCCGAUUAAAAUCCCCCAUGCAGACUGCUUUUCGGAAGUACACAUUUGUCCAGUCCAUAAUGAUAUUUUGAAGGGGCAAGUACAAAACUGCGAGAACUCAAAUGAAAUCACCCCCUCACUGUUUACUUUCAGUUUUAAUAUGGGCAACCCUUUAAACAAAAAGUUAGAAGUUUUGCCAUGUGGAGGAUCAACUGUAUUUAUUAAAUGUCACAAACCCUUUUUGAUGCUUAUCAUGGUCAAUAAUUCACAAAGACCCAAAGACAGAGGGUAUGACGCCUCAGUACCUGCUCAGCAGCACCCAUCUGAUAAAGUAAAGUUGGGCAGUGUUACCACUUACCACUUGGUACACUAAUUCAAGCAGCAUGGUUUGUUCUGGGAUGAGAGUAGCCAUAAGUUAUAGUGUACACACACAGGGCAGAUGGAGAGAUAAGAUAGCAUGGGAUAACAGGAUAACAUGAAAACAAGAACAUUUGUUAGUUAAUUUCAAGUCAUGAAUGUUAUGUCUAAAGAGAAAAACUAAAACUAAAGAUUGGCAGUAGUGGCCUGUGGGACUGGAAGUGGAUUGUUGGAUUGAUGGAAGUGAAUUCUUGUGUAAGUAUGGAUUGUUUGUAAUACAGUUUUGGGAGUGCUCGCGUCGAGGAUAGCAACUGGGGGACUCAAGUGUACGACUCAGGAACGGAAGGGUUUUAUUCUUGAGGUGUGGUCGAGAACAGGCAAGGUUUGUUACACAAAAACAGGUGUGAGUCUCAUAAUUUGAAGUCUAUCAUCCAUUGCAUGUGUCCGUUCUCCCUCCUGAUCAUUCUGUAGUCAGUCAGUAUGCUCCCUAGUUAUCUUUAUCAAUAACUGACCCAGCCACACCUACCGGCUUCUGAUCCACAAUCCCAUUUGACAUCUGGACACUGAUUCCUAUCUACUACCUUACUGGGUAGUCACACAUUGUCACUGCAAACGCUUCAAAUACAAAAUGCUUGGUCAGUGGGAUUUAGUGAAGUUACAGUUCAGAAAUAAUUCUUGAUGAUUCAUUUCCUGACGACUGACAUGAAUAAACAACAACAUCACAGUUUGUUUACAGCCCAGUGAGUCACGUACAGUUUGCGAUGCCGAAAAAUCAAAAACAGUAUUUGAGGGGAGGACGGAUGCUAAUUGCCGUCCUUUAUGGAUUUCUCCCAAUUUUCUACCCAAAGAGGGAUUUUUGGGAGUGUUUUCUACUUUCAGGUAGUGAAUGAGCAAAGGAUGUACGACAGCCCUGCAAGGCAAAUAUUUUGAUUUUGGACCAUAUAAAACUGAGUAGAACACAAAUGUUAAAGUGUGAUGAACUGUGAUGAUUUAAGAUGUGUUAUUAUGAGUGUACUAUCUAUUAGAUGAUGGUAUUAUUACAUUACAUAACGUUACAUGUCAUUUAGCGGACGCUUUUAUCCAAAGCGACUUACAAUAAGUGCAUUCAAGCAUAAGGAUACAAACUCAGAAGAACAAGAAACAAGAAAGUGCAAUUCCCUCAAAUAAGCCUAUUUACAAUUUGCUAUAGAUGAGUGGCGUUAUAAGUACAAUGUAAGUGCUACAGUUUGUUAGUGUUUUAGUGGAGGUAAAGUCUGAAGAGGUGUGUCUUUAGUCUGAAGAUUUGAAGGCUCCCUGUGCUCCUGAUGUCUUCAGAGACCUCCUUCCACCAUUUAGGAGCAGGACAGCAAAGAGUGGUGAUCUAGUCCAGUGUUUUGCUCUCAGUGAGGAGGAACAAGCAGUUUAUCAGAUGCAGAGCGGAGAGUGCGGGUCGGGAUGUCGUGUUUGACCAGGUCCUGAAUGUAAGCUGGACCCAAUCCAUCCACAGCAUGGUACGUGAGCACCAGUGUUUAGAACUGGAUGAGCCACCGGUACCAGUGAAGAGAGCGGAGGAGUGGAGGAGUGUGGGAGAAUUUAGGAAGGUUAAAGACCAGUCAAGCUGCUGCAUUCUGGAUGAGCUGCAGAGGUGGAAUGGUGGUAGCAGGAGACCUGCAGGAGAGAGUUACAGUAGUCCAGGCGGUAGAUGACAAGAGCCUGAAUCAGUACCUGCGCUGCCUUCUGAGUGAGAAGGAGUCAGUUGAAGGGAGAGCUGAUAAAACAGGAGGCCAGAGAGGAGGGAGUGAAUAUUGCGACGAACAGGUACAGAGUCAGUUCAUGGGGUCGUUAGUUAUAGACAGUGGAAGACAGUAAGAGAUGAAGAAGUGGUCAGACACAUGAAGUGGAGUUACAGAGAGGUUAGUGGUAGAGCAGUUUCUAGUGAAGAUGUAGUCAAGGUGAUUGCCGGCUUUGUGAGUAGGAGGAGAGGGACUGAGUGACAGAGCGAAAGAAAAAAGUAGGUGUAAGAGGUCAGAUGACUUCUCUGUCUGGAUGUUGAAGUCACCCAGGAGGAUGAGCGGAUGUUAAAGGACAACAAUAUUUAAUUGCACCGGGUGAGUAACUGUUACAGCAUGAAAUUCGAAAGACAGUGGGGGUGGACGGUGGAAGAGGGUAAAGAGAAAAGCUCCAUUUGCGUGAAAUAAGUAGACUUGUGCCACCACCCCUACCAGUGGGUCUGGGUGUGUGGCUGAAGGAGAAGGUGGAGGAGAGAGCGGCUGGGGUGGAUGUUUUCUCAGAUGUGAUCAGGUCUCAGUGAGAGCGAGGAAGUCUAAGCCCAACCCUAACCCUGAUAAAGAGAAGAUCUAGCCCUUCACUUCCUGCCUUGUCCUGUCAUCCCCUGUGAUUGUCUGAUUGUUUCCACCUGUGUCCAAUCACCUGCACCUCCCUAGUGUAUUUAAGCACGUUAUUGUCUGUGGUCCCAGAUGUUUCUAGUUCCUGCUUGCCGUUUUUCCCCUGGUUCUUGAGUGCAUUUUUGCCCCUUGGCCUUUUGCUUUGGACCAUUUGGACUAUUAAAGUCUUCUUUUGUUGCUCAAAGUCUGCGUGUGAGUCCUGCCUUCCACGCCCAACCCUGACAGAAUGACGCGACCACAAAGGGACUCAGCGGACCCGCUGCCAGACUACGGACCUGACUACAUGGAUGUUAGGAGCCCGUUCUGGCAGCGGAAGAUAAACUUUGUAUUAGGUUCCAAGAGUUACCCAGAGAGCUUGUCUCGAGCUCCGGGACCUCCUAAACCCCAGGAGGAGGAGCCCUGGCAAGCGGAAGCAGCGAUCCCCCGUUCCCGCUGGGCCGCAGCGACCUCCCGUUGCCGUUCCCCGACUCGCUCCCCCGACCCCCACCGGUACCGGCCCCUCGACUCCAGGCCCCGACCCCGCCGGUACCGGCCCCUCGACUCCUGACCCCCACUCGGCCUGGUCAGUAUACAUUUAGAAGGAAACUGAUUUGUUAGGUUUACUAUUAUCAUUCCAUUUAAUUACACUGACCUUUAAAAUACUCUUCUUUGUGUGUUUCUAAUUGUAAUUAAAAGAGGGCAAAAUUUACAGUUUGCAAUUCAAACGUAAUUGUAUUUCUUAAAUGUUUUGUGUUACUUAAAAAAAAUAUUACAUUUAUUUCCAACAUAUACCCAAAAGGACAGUAAGGUGUCUCCAAAUGAUUAGCAAGAGAAUAACCAUUACUAUGGGAAAAUAUCAUUUUUGUUUUAGACACCUGGCAAAACUACGUCAGGUUUUAGAAAACAUUCUGUUUUGGGUUCAAAUAAAAGUGUUUGUUAAACAACUUGAGUAACGUGAGAUAAUAAUGUAAGUUAGCUUACUUAUAGUCAUAAGUUAAACUAAAAGUCAACGUACAACCGGGAUUCAGAAGGUUUCCAAUUUUCAGACGAUAUUAAUUUUUCACACAGCGUCAUCCAUGUGCAGGCAGUAAAGAACCCUGAACGCACAGUGGUAGAGCUACUUGUCUCAUGUGUAUUCGGAUGGAGUCAUGGUUACAACGUUAUAACAACAGUUAAUAACCCUCAACUAAAGCUCUUCAUCAAGGUAGAACACCGCAACACACUUUGUUAAACAUAAACAAUUUGAACCGCAAAUAAUUGUACAUUUAUAAAGUUACACUUAGUUAUUUAUUAUUUUUUUUGAAGUUUUUUUUUCUGUUGUGUCUUAGCUCUUUGU
ensembl:lncRNA